rnacentral:sRNA from 1 species
CACAGCGUGAGUUCAUAUCAGCUACAUCUUUGCCACAACUUGGUGUUGGCUGACUUUAGUUGUUGCCAGUCUGGUGAGCACAUCAUGGUGUCUUGUGCAGGGCUAGCUUUUCCCCCAUUUCUCCAUCAGAUAAGAAAGCAGAGAUUGACAUCCUGGCUGCAGAGUACAUCUCCACGGUGAAGACGCUGUCUCCAGACCAGCGCGUGGAGCGCCUGCAGAAGAUCCAGAACGCCUACAGCAAGUGCAAGGAAUACAGUGACGACAAAGUGCAGCUGGCCAUGCAGACCUACGAGAUGGUGGAUAAACACAUUCGAAGGCUUGAUGCAGACCUGGCGCGCUUUGAGGCAGAU